GGUUCAGGUUGCUUGGAAAUGCUCUGG
rnacentral:piRNA from 1 species